rnacentral:rRNA from 1 species
AGGGUGCAGGGCGGAUGCCUUGGCACUAGGAGCCGAUGAAGGACGUGAUAAGCUGCGAUAAGCUUCGGGGAGUUGCACGUAAACUUUGAUCCGAAGAUUUCCGAAUGAGGAAACUCACUUAGAGUAAUGUCUAAGUAUCAUUAAGUGAAUACAUAGCUUAAUGAGGGGAACUCAGGGAACUGAAACAUCUAAGUACCUGAAGGAAGAGAAAGAAAUUCGAUUCCGUAAGUAGCGGCGAGCGAACGCGGAUUAGCCCAAACCAAUAAAGUUUUCUUUAUUGGGGUUGCGGACAUAUCAUAACGAAGAGGUAUCGUAAUUGAAGAGGUUUGGAAAGACCCACCACAGAAGGUAAUAGUCCUGUAUGUUAAACGAGAAGACUUUAGAUAUGAUCCAGAGUACCACGGGACACGUGAAACCCUGUGGGAAGCAGGAGGGACCACCCUCCAAGGCUAAAUACUACCUAGUGACCGAUAGCGUAUAGUACCGUGAGGGAAAGGUGAAAAGAACCCCGGGAGGGGAGUGAAAUAGAACCUGAAACCCUGCACUUACAAGCUGUGGAAGCACAUUUCUUGUGUGACCGCGUACUUUUUGUAGAACGGGCCAACGAGUUACGUUAAGUAGCAAGGUUAAGCACUUAAGGUGCGGAGCCGUAGCGAAAGCGAGUUUUAACUGAGCGUUCAGUUACUUGACGUAGACCCGAAACCGGGCGACCUACCCAUGAGCAGGAUGAAGCGAAAGUAAAAUUUCGUGGAGGUCCGAACCCACGAGCGUUGAAAAGCUCGGGGAUGACUUGUGGGUAGCGGUGAAAUUCCAAUCGAGCCCGGAGAUAGCUGGUUCUCCCCGAAAUAGCUUUAGGGCUAGCCUCAAGGUGAGAGAUACGGAGGUAGAGCACUGAAUGUCCUAGGGGGUAUUGCACCUACCGAAGACUAUCAAACUCCGAAUGCCGUCAUCUUAUACUUGGGAGUCAGACUGUGGGUGAUAAGAUUCAUAGUCGAAAGGGCAACAGCCCAGAUCGUCAGCUAAGGUCCCUAAAUGUAAGUUAAGUGGUAAAGGAUGUGGGAUUGCACAGACAACCAGGAUGUUGGCUUAGAAGCAGCCACUCAUUCAAAGAGUGCGUAAUAGCUCACUGGUCGAGUGAUCCUGCGCCGAAGAUUUCCGGGGCUAAAACUUACUACCGAAGCUACGGCAUCAGUAAUGAUGGGUAGGGGAGCUUCCCAUACGGGUUGAAGCAUGACCGUAAGGACAUGUGGACAGUAUGGGAGUGAGAAUGUUGGCAUGAGUAGCGAGAUGUGGGUGAGAAUCCCACAGGCCGUAAACCCAAGGUUUCCAGGGGAAGGUUCGUCCGCCCUGGGUUAGUCGGGACCUAAGCUGAGGCCGAAAGGCGUAGGUGAUGGACAACAGGUUGAUAUUCCUGUACUACCGAUAACCGUUUGAGAGAAGGGAUGACACAGUAGGAUAAGCUAAGCACACUGUUGGUUAUGUGUGCCCAAGCAUUGAGGCAGUCAAAGUAGGCAAAUCCGCUUUGAUAAUGCUGGGAUGUGAUGGGGAGCGAAAUUUAGUAGCGAAGUAGCUGAUUUCACACUGUCAAGAAAAGUCUCUAUCGAGGUUAAAGGUACCCGUACCGCAAACCGACACAGGUGGGUGAGGAGAGUAUCCUAAGGCCAGCGAGAGAACUGUUGUUAAGGAACUCGGCAAAAUGACCCCGUAACUUAGGGAUAAGGGGUGCCACCAUCAGGUGGCCGCAGAGAAUAGGCCCAAGCGACUGUUUACCAAAAACAUAGGUUUCUGCUAAGUCGCAAGACGAUGUAUAGGAGCUGACGCCUGCCCGGUGCUGGAAGGUUAAGGGGAUCUGUUAGAGCAAUCGAAGCAGUGAACUUAAGCCCCAGUAAACGGCGGCCGUAACUAUAACGGUCCUAAGGUAGCGAAAUUCCUUGUCGGGUAAGUUCCGACCCGCACGAAAGGCGUAACGAUUUGGGCACUGUCUCAACAACAGACUCGGUGAAAUUGUAAUUCCGGUGAAGAUGCCGGAUACCUGCGACAGGACGGAAAGACCCCAUGGAGCUUUACUGUAGCUUGACAUUGGGUCUUGGUACUACAUGUACAGGAUAGGUGGGAGGCUUUGAAACCAGGACGCCAGUUUUGGCGGAGCCAUCCUUGGGAUACCACCCUUGUAGUACUGGGACUCUAACCAUAGGCCAUGAAUCUGGUCUUGGGACACUGUCAGGUGGGCAGUUUGACUGGGGCGGUCGCCUCCCAAAAGGUAACGGAGGCGCUCAAAGGUUCUCUCAGUACGGUCGGAAAUCGUACGUAGAGUGUAAAGGCAAAAGAGAGCUUGAUUGCAAGACAUACAGGUCGAGCAAGGAUGAAAAUCGGACUUAGUGAUCCGGUGGUUCUGCGUGGAAGGGCCAUCGCUCAACGGAUAAAAGCUACCCUGGGGAUAACAGGCUUAUCUCCCCCAAGAGUCCACAUCGACGGGGAGGUUUGGCACCUCGAUGUCGGCUCAUCACAUCCUGGGGCUGUAGUAGGUCCCAAGGGUUGGGCUGUUCGCCCAUUAAAGUGGUACGCGAGCUGGGUUCAGAACGUCGUGAGACAGUUCGGUCCCUAUCCGUCGCAGGCGUAGGAAAUUUGAGAAGACCUGUCCUUAGUACGAGAGGACCGGGAUGGACGUACCUCUGGUGUACCAGUUGUUCUGCCAAGGGCAUGGCUGGGUAGCUAUGUACGGAAUGGAUAAGCGCUGAAAGCAUCUAAGCGCGAAGCCAACUUCAAGAUAAGAUUUCCCACCGCAAGGGUAAGACCCCAGAAAGACUAUCUGGUUGA